ACAAGUCUAGCGGUAACUUCGGGGUUAGCGGCGGACGGGUGAGUAACGCGUGGGAAUAUGCCCUUCUCUACGGAAUAGUCCUGGGAAACUGGGGGUAAUACCGUAUACGCCCUUUGGGGGAAAGAUUUAUCGGGGAAGGAUUAGCCCGCGUUGGAUUAGGUAGUUGGUGGGGUAAUGGCCUACCAAGCCGACGAUCCAUAGCUGGUUUGAGAGGAUGAUCAGCCACACUGGGACUGAGACACGGCCCAGACUCCUACGGGAGGCAGCAGUGGGGAAUCUUAGACAAUGGGGGCAACCCUGAUCUAGCCAUGCCGCGUGAGUGAUGAAGGCCUUAGGGUUGUAAAGCUCUUUCAGCUGGGAAGAUAAUGACGGUACCAGCAGAAGAAGCCCCGGCUAACUCCGUGCCAGCAGCCGCGGUAAUACGGAGGGGGCUAGCGUUGUUCGGAAUUACUGGGCGUAAAGCGCACGUAGGCGGACCGGAAAGUUGGGGGUGAAAUCCCGGGGCUCAACCUCGGAACUGCCUUCAAAACUACUGGUCUUGAGUUCGAGAGAGGUGAGUGGAAUUCCGAGUGUAGAGGUGAAAUUCGUAGAUAUUCGGAGAACACCAGUGGCGAAGCGGCUC
rnacentral:rRNA from 1 species